AGAGUUUGAUCAUGGCUCAGAACGUACGCUGGCGGCACGCCUUAUACAUGCAAGUCGAACGAAGUAGCAAUACUUAGUGGCAGACGGGUGAGUAACAUGUAGGUAUCUUCCCUUUGGUGAGGAAUAACACGAGGAAACUUGUGCUAAUACCUCAUAAGUCUUUACGGAGAAAGCUUUAUGCGCCGAAGGAUGAGCCUGCACUUGAUUAGUUUGUUGGUGGGGUAAUGGCCUACCAAGACUUUGAUCUAUAGCUGAUCUGAGAGGAUGAUCAGCCACAUUGGGACUGAGACACGGCCCAAACUCCUACGGGAGGCAGCAGUAGGGAAUAUUGCACAAUGGAGGAAACUCUGAUGCAGCGAUGCCGCGUGAGUGAAGAAGGCCUUUGGGUUGUAAAGCUCUUUCGUCGGGGAAGAAAAUGACUGUACCCGAAUAAGAAGGUCCGGCUAACUUCGUGCCAGCAGCCGCGGUAAUACGAAGGGACCUAGCGUAGUUCGGAAUUACUGGGCUUAAAGAGUUCGUAGGUGGUUAAAAAAGUUGGUGGUGAAAUCCCAGAGCUUAACUCUGGAACUGCCAUCAAAACUUUUUAGCUAGAGUAUGAUAGAGGAAAGCAGAAUUUCUAGUGUAGAGGUGAAAUUCGUAGAUAUUAGAAAGAAUACCAAUUGCGAAGGCAGCUUUCUGGAUCAUUACUGACGCUGAGGAACGAAAGCAUGGGUAGCGAAGAGGAUUAGAUACCCUCGUAGUCCAUGCCGUAAACGAUGUGUGUUAGACGUUGGAAAUUUAUUUUCAGUGUCGCAGCGAAA
rnacentral:rRNA from 1 species